GACGAACGCUGGCGGCGUGCUUAACACAUGCAAGUCGAACGGAAAGGCCCUGCUUUUGUGGGGUGCUCGAGUGGCGAACGGGUGAGUAACACGUGAGUAACCUGCCCUUGACUUUGGGAUAACUUCAGGAAACUGGGGCUAAUACCGGAUAGGAGCUCCUGCUGCAUGGUGGGGGUUGAAAAGUUUCGGCGGUUGGGGAUGGACUCGCGGCUUAUCAGCUUGUUGGUGGGGUAGUGGCUUACCAAGGCUUUGACGGGUAGCCGGCCUGAGAGGGUGACCGGCCACAUUGGGACUGAGAUACGGCCCAGACUCCUACGGGAGGCAGCAGUGGGGAAUAUUGCACAAUGGGCGGAAGCCUGAUGCAGCAACGCCGCGUGCGGGAUGACGGCCUUCGGGUUGUAAACCGCUUUCGCCUGUGACGAAGCGUGAGUGACGGUAAUGGUUAAAGAAGCACCGGCUAACUACGUG
rnacentral:rRNA from 1 species